GUGCUCGCUUCAGUGACAUAUUUACUAAAAUUUGAAUAAUACAGAGCAGAUAGCAUGGACCUGGAGCAAGGAUGACACAAAAUUCAUGAAGUGUUUCAUAUUUUU
ensembl:snRNA U6 U6 spliceosomal RNA